rnacentral:rRNA from 1 species
UACGGAGGGUGCGAGCGUUGUCCGGAAUCACUGGGCGUAAAGGGCGCGUAGGCGGCCUGAUAAGUAGGGGGUGAAAUCCUGCGGCUUAACCGCAGGGCUGCCUUCUAAACUGUCAGGCUAGAGCACAGUAGAGGCAGGUGGAAUUCCCGGUGUAGCGGUGGAAUGCGUAGAGAUCGGGAAGAACAUCAGUGGCGAAGGCGACUCUUUGGCCUGUAACUGACACUGAGGCGCGAAAGCGUGGGGAGCAAACAGG